UUACACCUGGCAGGGGAGUUAUCAUGAUUAGAAAGAUGGUUUUCUACAGCAAGGCUCAUCCAUUGUACUUGGAAUGUGCUGAUUGAUGUGAUUUCCCAAAAUGUGGGAAGCCUGACUACAUAAUUUGUGGUAGUGGGUGACUGUGUUCAUGCUCUCCCC
rnacentral:snRNA from 1 species